GGAGGUAUAGCUCAGUGGUAGAGUAUGAACUUAGCAUGUACAAGGCCAGGGUUCAAUCCACAGCCACCUCCA
rnacentral:tRNA from 1 species